rnacentral:rRNA from 1 species
AUUGAACGCUGGCGGCAGGCUUAACACAUGCAAGUCGAGCGGGGUGAUGGUGCUUGCACUAUCACUUAGCGGCGGACGGGUGAGUAAUGCUUAGGAAUCUGCCUAUUAGUGGGGGACAACAUCUCGAAAGGGAUGCUAAUACCGCAUACGUCCUACGGGAGCCAUCAGGGGAUCACUUGUGACCUUGCGCUAAUCGUUGAGCCUAAGUCGGAUUAGCCGGUGGGUGGGGUAAAGGCCUACCAAGGCGAGGAUCUGUAGCGGGUCUGAGAGGAUGAUCCGCCACACUGGGAGGGAGACACGGCCCAGACUCCUACGGGAGGCAGCAGUGGGGAAUAUUGGACAAUGGGGGGAACCCUGAUCCAGCCAUGCCGCGUGUGUGAAGAAGGCCUUAUGGUUGUAAAGCACUUUAAGCGAGGAGGAGGCUCUUUUGGUUAAUACCCAAGAUGAGUGGACGUUACUCGCAGAAUAAGCACCGGCUAACUCUGUGCCAGCCGCCGCCGUAA